rnacentral:rRNA from 1 species
UGGGGAAUAUUGCACAAUGGGCGCAAGCCUGAUGCAGCCAUGCCGCGUGUAUGAAGAAGGCCUUCGGGUUGUAAAGUACUUUCAGCGGGGAGGAAGGCGAUAAGGUUAAUAACCUUGUCGAUUGACGUUGCCUGCAGAAGAAGCACCGGCUAACUCCGUGCCAGCAGCCGCGGUAAUACGGAGGGUGCAAGCGUUAAUCGGAAUUACUGGGCGUAAAGCGCACGCAGGCGGUCUGUCAAGUCGGAUGUGAAAUCCCCGGGCUCAACCUGGGAACUGCAUUCGAAACUGGCAGGCUAGAGUCUUGUAGAGGGGGGUAGAAUUCCAGGUGUAGCGGUGAAAUGCGUAGAGAUCUGGAGGAAUACCGGUGGCGAAGGCGGCCCCCUGGACAAAGACUGACGCUCAGGUGCGAAAGCGUGGGGAGCAAACA